rnacentral:rRNA from 1 species
CUAGGCAAAAUGGUACCGUAACUUCGGGAGAAGGUACGCUGUUGUUGGUGAUGGAACUUGCUUCCUGAGCUGACGACAGCCGCAGAAACCAGGCCGCUGCAACUGUUUAUUAAAAACAUAGCACUCUGCAAACACGAAAGUGGACGUAUAGGGUGUGAUGCCUGCCCGGUGCUGGAAGGUUAAUUGAUGGGGUUAGCGUAAGCGAAGCUCUUGAUCGAAGCCCCAGUAAACGGCGGCCGUAACUAUAACGGUCCUAAGGUAGCGAAAUUCCUUGUCGGGUAAGUUCCGACCUGCACGAAUGGCAUAAUGAUGGCGGCGCUGUCUCCAGCAGAGGCUCAGUGAAAUCGAAAUCGCUGUGAAGAUGCAGUGUACCCGCGGCUAGACGGAAAGACCCCGUGAACCUUUACUGCAGCUUGACACUGAACUUUGACCUUACUUGUGUAGGAUAGGUGGGAGGCUUUGAAGCUGGAACGCUAGUUCCAGUGGAGCCGUCCUUGAAAUACCACCCUGGUAAUGUUGAGGUUCUAACUCUGUCCCGUGAUCCGGGACGAGGACCGUGUCUGGUGGGUAGUUUGACUGGGGCGGUCUCCUCCUAAAGAGUAACGGAGGAGUACGAAGGUGCGCUCAGCGUGGUCGGAAAUCACGCGUAGAGUAUAAAGGCAAAAGCGCGCUUAACUGCGAGACCCACAAGUCGAGCAGGUACGAAAGUAGGUCUUAGUGAUCCGGUGGUUCUGUAUGGAAGGGCCAUCGCUCAACGGAUAAAAGGUACUCUGGGGAUAACAGGCUGAUACCGCCCAAGAGUUCAUAUCGACGGCGGUGUUUGGCACCUCGAUGUCGGCUCAUCUCAUCCUGGGGCUGAAGCAGGUCCCAAGGGUAUGGCUGUUCGCCAUUUAAAGAGGUACGCGAGCUGGGUUUAGAACGUCGUGAGACAGUUCGGUCCCUAUCUACCGUGGGCGCUGGAAAUUUGAGAGGAUCUGCUCCUAGUACGAGAGGACCAGAGUGGACGAACCUCUGGUGUACCGGUUGUGACGCCAGUCGCAUCGCCGGGUAGCUAUGUUCGGAAGGGAUAACCGCUGAAAGCAUCUAAGCGGGAAGCCUACCUCAAGAUAAGAUUUCCCUAGGACUUUAUGUCCUCUAAAGAGCCGUUCGAGACUAGGACGUUGAUAGGUUGGAUGUGGAAGCAUAGUGAUAUGUGAAGCUGACCAAUACUAAUUGCUCGUGAGGCUUGACUAU